ACAUUACUUGACUGGUAGAAGACGUUUGUACUAACUAUGUUGUCGAAAAGCUAUGAAUGAGGCGAAAGUUUCUUUUGGCAGAGUAGACAAGUAAGCUGGGAGUUUAUCUGGCAGGUAGAGUUCAUACCUUAUAGGCGCUGGGUAAUACCAGUGAUCUGAACCAAGGUCUCAAAUCAGGUAGGAAGACCCGCUGAACUUAA
rnacentral:misc_RNA from 1 species